rnacentral:rRNA from 1 species
GACGAACGCUGGCGGCGUGCUUAACGCAUGCAAGUCGAACGGAAAGGCCCUGCUUUUGUGGGGUGCUCGAGUGGCGAACGGGUGAGUAACACGUGAGUAACCUGCCCUUGACUUUGGGAUAACUUCAGGAAACUGGGGCUAAUACCGGAUAGGAGCUCCUGCUGCAUGGUGGGGGUUGGAAAGUUUCGGCGGUUGGGGAUGGACUCGCGGCUUAUCAGCUUGUUGGUGGGGUAGUGGCUUACCAAGGCUUUGACGGGUAGCCGGCCUGAGAGGGUGACCGGCCACAUGGGGACUGAGAUACGGCCCAGACUCCUACGGGAGGCAGCAGUGGGGAAUAGUGCACAAUGGGCGGAAGCCUGAUGCAGCAACGCCGCGUGCGGGAUGACGGCCUUCGGGUGGUAAACCGCUUUCGCCUGUGACGAAGCGUGAGUGACGGUAAUGGGUAAAGAAGCACCGGCUAACUACGUG